CACCAGAAGGCUGUGAGCCGCUUCAAUUGUGCCAGGACACAAUGUCCGCCUGUCCGGACGAAGGUGUCCACCUCCAGCCGUCCUGCCCCGACCUCAACAAGGUGAACUUCACACCACACGGAGGCUCUGCUUUUUGCCGCGUCAGCGUCCUCAAGCCCCUCCUGCCCUCCAUGGACCUGCUCUUCCGUGGCCUGUCCGUCUCGCCCGUCACUAGUUGCCCGGGCCAGGCGUCUCCCACCAGGCAGCUCGGCAUGCAGUGAGGGUGAUGACCACCUCGCUGGACUAAAUUGCUCUGGGUUUACUCCGGGCUUUACUGCCUCGUCACAGUAGCCUUGAUCACACGGACUUGUGGAUGAAUACCAACUUGUUUUGUGACUUUGUUACUGAUAUAUGAUCAAGCUCAUUGUUUUUGACAAGGUACUUUUCUACCAAUUCCUUAUCAAGAAAAUUUAAAGUAUAUUUUUGUAGCUUUCGUGGUGACGUUAUUUGUAUCAGGCAGGAGAAAUCAACUCCUUUCUAGGUUUAUAGUGCGUUCAACGUUAUAAACAGGAAACUUUAAUUUCCUACUGAGGGUUUCUUUCUAAUCAAAACAUUGCAAAUGCAAGAUUGUUAAACUGAAUUGAUAUUUAUGUGUAAUUUGUUUCCCAUUCAACCUACGACACCCAUAAUUCAAUAUUGUGACAAGAAAACGUUCCAUUUUAUUCUCAGUGAUGUGGAAGAGCUUGAUUUUUUUUGCCCGAGUUAAUGUUAUCGUACAGUGUGCUCAUAAAUGUACUUACCCUGGCAGAAUUAAUAAACAAAAAAAUAAAACAUCAAGUAAUUAAUGAGAUAUCAUUAAACGUUCUUUUUCCCAAAGAAAAUGUCCUAAAUUCUGCUUGGGUAUGUACAUUUACAAGCAUAACUGUACAGUAUGUAGAUUAAACAGUGACUGAUUGGGGGGGGGGCGUUGUUUUCAUUUUUUUCCGUGAAGACUAAAUGAGCGAAAUGGAUUGUA